rnacentral:lncRNA from 1 species
UCACCCCCGUGCAGUAUCCGAUUCGCGCGGGGGGCGGGUGCGGGCGCGAUUCGCGUGGGAUUCGCACGGGAUUCGCCACCUGGCGAAUCCCCCAAAAAAAAAAAAAAAAAAUUGGAUUCGCGAAUCGGGUGCGCCAACCUCGCGAAUCCGGUGGUUGGCUUCAAUAUGCCGCUGCGGUGGUCGGAUUUCAGAGGGCGGCGGCAGAAGGGGCGGCGAGCGCCGGCGCUGCCCGCCACGGCGGCCGCAGUGGCUGCUGACAGCAGAGAGGGAAAGGGAGGUGAGCGAGAGAUAAAAAGUGAGCAGAGAGGGGGAAGAUAGAAGAAAUCGAGAGGGAGAGCAGAGAGAGGACACAGAGAGAUCGAUCGUGAGAGAGGGAGGAAGAUAGAUUACCUGAGAGAGAGGUGGUGGUGGUGCGACGGAGACGGCGGUGGCAGAGGCAACACUCGCCGGAGGGGCGAAUUUCAGAGGGGAAAGGGAGGCAGAAAACCCUAGAAAUUGGGAGUUUUAGAAUUAGAGAAGGAAAUAGGGAAUAGAGAGGAAGGAGAAGAUGAGGAGCCGGCCUCGCCACGCCGGAGGCGGCGAGAACCGGCGAUGUUCGCCGAAGGAGGCAGAGAGGAGGGAGCGAUAGAGAGCAUUGCGUGAGGAAAGAAAAAGAGAAAUGAGAGAGAGAAUUAAUCUGCUUUCAUAUUAUGAAGAUUCUAGGUUGAAUCUGUUUUUAAUUCUAAAUUUUUAAGUGGGCUCAGAAUAAUUUUUUGGGCCAGUAAUGUUCAUGGGCCAGUUAAUUUAUUAAUUGGACUUUGAUAGCUAAUUACAUAAUGGAUUUAAUAUAUAUAAUUGGACCUUAAUUAUUUAUUUUAAGCCUAAUAAUUAUGUAUAAAGGAUUAUUAGCUAUUAGCUAAUAAUUAGUUUGAUUUAUUAAAUUGGCCUAAAUUUGGGCCUUUAAUAAAUUUUAAUUCUUUAAAUGGUCAUAUAUAUAUAUA